GACGAACGCUGGCGGCGUGCCCAAUACAUGCAAGUUGAGCGCUGAAGGUUGGUACUUGUACCGACUGGAUGAGCAGCGCACGGGUGAGUAACGCGUGGGGAAUCUGCCUUUGAGCGGGGGACAACAUUUGGAAACGAAUGCUAAUACCGCAUAAAAACUUUAAACACAAGUUUUAAGUUUGAAAGAUGCAAUUGCAUCACUCAAAGAUGAUCCCGCGUUGUAUUAGCUAGUUGGUGAGGUAAAGGCUCACCAAGGCGAUGAUACAUAGCCGACCUGAGAGGGGGAUCGGCCACAUUGGGACUGAGACACGGCCCAAACUCCUACGGGAGGCAGCAGUAGGGAAUCUUCGGCAAUGGACGAAAGUCUGACCGAGCAACGCCGCGUGAGUGAAGAAGGGUUUCGGAUCGUAAAACUCUGUUGGUAGAGAAGAACGUUGGUGAGAGUGGAAAGCUCAUCAAGUGACGGUAACUACCCAGAAAGGGACGGCUAACUACGUG
rnacentral:rRNA from 1 species